rnacentral:rRNA from 1 species
AGUGAACGCUGGCGGUAGGCCUAACACAUGCAAGUCGAACGGCAGCACAGUAAGAGCUUGCUCUUACGGGUGGCGAGUGGCGGACGGGUGAGGAAUACAUCGGAAUCUACUUUUUCGUGGGGGAUAACGUAGGGAAACUUACGCUAAUACCGCAUACGACCUACGGGUGAAAGCAGUGGAUCUUCUGACCUUGCGCGAUUGAAUGAGCCGAUGUCGGAUUAGCUAGUUGGCGGGGUAAAGGCCCACCAAGGCGACGAUCCGUAGCUGGUCUGAGAGGAUGAUCAGCCACACUGGAACGGAGACACGGUCCAGAGUCCUACGGGAGGCAGCAGUGGGGAAUAUUGGGCAAUGGGCGCAAGCCUGAUCCAGCCAUACCGCGUGGGUGAAGAAGGCCUUCGGGUUGUAAAGCCCUUUUGUUGGGAAAGAAAAGCAGCAGGUUAAUACCACGCUGUUCUGACGGUACCCAAAGAAUAAGCACCGGCUAACUUCGUG